rnacentral:pre_miRNA from 1 species
AGCCUUCUGUAUCCGUGCUGAGAUUUCGUCAGACACCAGACUGAUGAGACUCCUAAGAUAAGCGAAGCG